GCCGAUGUAGCUCAACGGCUGAGCAGUCCCUCCGUAAGGGAAAGGCUGGUGGUUCAAAUCCACCCAUCGGCU
rnacentral:tRNA from 1 species